rnacentral:rRNA from 1 species
GACGAACGCUGGCGGCGUGCUUAACACAUGCAAGUCGAACGGAAAGGCCCUGCUUUUGUGGGGUGCUCGAGUGGCGAACGGGUGAUUAACACGUGAGUAACCUGCCCUUGACUUUGGGAUAACUUCAGGAAACUGGGGCUAAUACCGGAUAGGAGCUCCUGCUGCAUGGUGGGGGUUGGAAAGUUUCGGCGGGUGGGGAUGGACUCGCGGCUUAUCAGCUUGUUGGUGGGGUAGUGGCUUACCAAGGCUUUGACGGGUAGCCGGCCUGAGAGGGUGACCGGCGACAUGGGGACUGCGAUACGGCCCAGACUGCUACGGGAGGCAGCAGUGGGGAAUAUGGCACAAUGGGGGGAAGCCUGAUGCAGCAACGCCGCGGGCGGGAUGACGGCCUUCGGGUUGUAAACCGCUUUCGCCUGUGACGAAGCGUGAGUGACGGUAAUGGGUAAAGAAGCACCGGCUAACUACGUG